GACAGCAGCCGCCGCGGUAAUACAGAGGGUGCGAGCGUUAAUCGGAUUUACUGGGCGUAAAGCGUGCGUAGGCGGCUUCUUAAGUCGGAUGUGAAAUCCCUGAGCUUAACUUAGGAAUUGCAUUCGAUACUGGGAAGCUAGAGUAUGGGAGAGGAUGGUAGAAUUCCAGGUGUAGCGGUGAAAUGCGUAGAGAUCUGGAGGAAUACCGAUGGCGAAGGCAGCCAUCUGGCCUAAUACUGACGCUGAGGUACGAAAGCAUGGGGAGCAAACAGGAUUAGAUACCCCAGUAGUCCCUGUCUCUUAUAC
rnacentral:rRNA from 1 species